GAAUGCCUGUCAUUUUAGGACUUUGGGAGGGGCUCACAGGACAUUGUGUUUGCUGGGAACAGUCUCUCUGCAAAUGCUUGCACUGGGUGAGGUUCGUGUGCCACAGUGUGAGUGUGUAGAGGCCAGAGGACAACUUCAUGGAUUCCUUUUUCAUCUUUCACCUUCAUGUGGGUGCUGGAGAUCAAAAUCAUCUGGAUUGUGUAGCCAGCGCUCUUCCACUGAACCAUCUCUCCAGUCCUGACUCCAGCAUUUUUAAUAUUAGACACAUUUAAGUGCUAAAUUUAAAGAGGUUGACUUGUGAGUCCGUAGCUAGUUUAUCACGGGUCGCAGUGUUGGGGGGCAGUGUUUGCAAACAUGCAUGUUGAAAGCAUUUCCCCAAAAUCUUCACAAAAUAAACAAUAAAAGAUAACAUUGAGCUUA